rnacentral:tRNA from 1 species
GCGGGCGUAGCUCAGCUGGUAGAGUACGAGCUUCCCAAGCUUGUGGUCGCGGGUUCGAUCCCCGUCGCCCGCUCCA